rnacentral:lncRNA from 1 species
AUGUGCAUAGGAUCGUCCUUCUCCCACAGGACAAAAUCCCCAGCUAAACGUGCCCUCCCGCGUGCUAUACCUACCUGCAGGGAGGUAGGGUCCCAUCGAGGUGUCUGCCUUGCAGGGACGGGCAUGCCUGGGCCUGGCCGGGAAGGGGCUGUGCCGGGCGCCUUCACCCUACAGUCAUUAGAAAGGCAGUGUUCCUGGGAAAGGUCGGCCUUCUGCCGGCCCCCCAGGUCCCUGGGCGGAACCGCGGGGGGCACAACAGGAUCGUGUAAAUGCGCUGGGGGGGUCUGCAGUGCUGUCGGCGCUAAAACCAGCACAUCCUGGGCUCACCUGGACCACUCGGUCACCCCGGCUGGUUGCUAUAGCAACCGCACCUUGGGCCGGGGCCCGUGCAACCGCGAGCCGGUCCCCGGUCGGGGUGAAGAGGGGGGAUCCCCCGCGGAGUCUCCUUGGUCUUUCCGCCCAGAGGAAGCCUCCUCGGAGGGCCUGACUCCCCGGAGACGCCCCCGCCCCCGCCCCCGCCGUCCUCCCCUGCUUCCGCCGCCGCCGCCCCGCCCACAUCGUCUCUCCCCCGCCGACCGCGACCGCCCCCGUCCUCCCACGACCAAGCCCCCACGGCGGGCGGCUCCACCCGCACGGCCCUCACCCCGCAGGCCAGGACGCCGCCGGCCCCCGCAGCCGCCCCUGCGCCGCACCGCGCCCCGCAACCCGCAACGCCACGCCCCAUCGCGCCACGCACCGCUCCGUCGCGCGCGCACAGCGCCCUGCCACGCCCCCUCGCCGCACGCCACGCCCCCCGCCGCACGCCACGCCCCCGCCGCACGCCGCGCCCCCACGUCACACGCCGCGCCCCCUCGCGCCCCCUCGCGCCCCGCUGCCGAGGGCGGCGGGCGCCGUCCGGGUGUCCGCGAGCGGGUCCGCGGUUCGUCCGAGUCGGUCCCCGCGGGGCGCGCUGCUCCCGCGCCGGGUCCCGGGGCAGCCGCAGGGGCGGGGCGCGCGGCGGGAGGCCGGGUCUCGCGGCCGCGGCUCUCGGUCGGGUUUGCCGCGAGCGCAGGUGUGCGCCGAGGGCCCGCGGGCCUGCGGGGCGCCCUGGGCGUGACUCACGCGAGCGGCCGCGUCCAAAAUAAGUCAGCGGCGGCCGCGGGGUGA